CGUGGCAGCUCUAGCUGCACAGUGUGUACUCUCGAUCGGAGAAGGGAAGAAGGCUAGGACUUGUUUAGCAAUUCGGAAUUUUUAAGUCCUAUUAAAUUCUGCAAUCACAGUUUGAUUUGUUUGCCUAGUUGAGACUGGUGUGGGGCACGCACAGGUGAGGGGAUCGGGAUCGGGAUCGGAGUAACCGGAGCUGUGCACGCUCCACGGCAAGACCAAGUCAAAGGGCUUUCAAUGAUUCAAUAGUUUAAUUUCGAAUUUCCAUGCAAAUAAACAAAUAUCCAUUAGGAUGCAGACCGAGGCGGAGCCCAAUGUCUUGCACAUGUUUGCCGAUUCCCAUUGUUGGGCUGUGUUUGAGCUCCUCCGCAUCUGAAAGGAUCCAACUUUAUCUGCAUAUGCAUAGCCAUCCGCAUCUGCGUCUCCAUCUGCCUUUAUAUCCGGAUCUGCAUCUUCGCUGCGUGCUGAAUGUGUAAUUACGUAAAAGUUGAUAAUGUGUUGAUUAUUUGAGCUUUAAGUUUGGCAUGUGUCUAUUGUGUUUUGCGGUCAGUUUUCAUCCUCAAACUCGCAAUCGAGGAAAAAUACAAACACAUUUCAAAGGAACGCAGGCAUUUCUGUUUCUGUUGAUUGCAUUACAAAGAAGCUUCCUUGUCCGAGCGGCCGUUUAGCGCUGGCUUCCCUUCAUCAUCCUUUCAUCCCGUAUUCAGUUCAGGAUGCACUGAAACCACAAUCGCUACCAGCUACCAGAGCUUUCAUAAAACAAGCAUCUUUUCAACAAUUUCCAUUGCGAUUCCGAGUGCUUAAGUAUGUGUGCCGUAAUUUAAUUUCAUAAAAGCAAUUGUACUUUUGACCCCUGCGCACGUCCCUCGCCACACAGCUCUCGGCAAACUUUGCUCGCAUUCACAGAAUGACAAAAUCAUGUGACCAGGGGGAAUGUGGCAAGGACUCAACUAAAGGCGGCAGUUUGUGAUAGAGGUGGUCGCGUGAAUGUCGACUGGCAUCUGAUGAAAAAUUACUUACUUCCUUACUUACCUCCUCAAAAUCACUAACGUUUAAAAAAAAUCGACAGGCGUCUAAAACAACGCAGUCUUAAGCAAGAUACGAUUAGAUACUUGGCUUUUCACUUAACAUGCGUGUGCUGUCUCCACCAUGUUUUUAGUUUUCGGAGCUAAAAUCACUUUACAAAAUAAAUUAAAAAACAUGGAAUAAAGGAAAGGAAUAAACGAUCUCGGAGAAACUCGAAAUCAAUGUGGAUAUUCAGCUAAGUGGAGUAUUUGCUGGGUACCUAUUUCCAUUUGAAAUACAAAAUCCCGCUCCAGGAUUACGAAUAUAAAAGCGGGAGUUCACAAUAAACAUUCUUCAAUCGGCCUUUCAAAUUGGUUACAUUU